GGAGAGGAAAAGCAAGGAGUGGCAAGCAGAGGGAGAGGAGAAGCAGGCUGCCUGCUGAGCAGGAAGCCCGACAUGGAGCUCCAUCCUAGGACCCUGGGAUCAUGACCUGACCUGAAAGCAGACGCUUAAUGGACUGAGUCACCCAGGUGGGAGGGCAAUGAGAGAAGAAGAGAAAAUCUGAAGCAAACUCCAUGCUGAGCACAGAGCCCAAUGCUGGGCUCAAUCUCACAACCUUGGGAUCAUGACUUCAAGCGAAAAUGAGAGUUGGACACUGGACCACCCAGGAUAGAAAAAUAACUUCACUGUAGGUCUUCCAUCUGUCUGAAUAGUAAAAACCCACCACCUGGCAUCUUUUUGAGAUCAUUACUCUCUCAGUAAAUGUCACAAUUUUCAUUUUGAAACUCCUUUCAGCUAUCUGUUUUU